GAUGAACGCUGGCGGCGUGCCUAAUACAUGCAAGUCGAGCGAACGGACGAGAAGCUUGCUUCUCUGAUGUUAGCGGCGGACGGGUGAGUAACACGUGGAUAACCUACCUAUAAGACUGGGAUAACUUCGGGAAACCGGAGCUAAUACCGGAUAAUAUUUUGAACCGCAUGGUUCAAAAGUGAACGACGGUCUUGCUGUCACUUAUAGAUGGAUCCGCGCUGCAUUAGCUAGUUGGUAAGGUAACGGCUUACCAAGGCAACGAUGCAUAGCCGACCUGAGAGGGUGAUCAGCCACACUGGAACUGAGACACGGUCCAGACUCCUACGGGAGGCAGCAGUAGGGAAUCUUCCGCAAUGGGCGAAAGCCUGACGGAGCAACGCCGCGUGAGUGAUGAAGGUCUUCGGAUCGUAAAACUCUGUUAUUAGGGAAGAACAUAUGUGUAAGUAACUGUGCACAUCUUGACGGUACCUAAUCAGAAAGCCCCGGCUAACUACGUG
rnacentral:rRNA from 1 species